GGGGUUACCCGCUUGAACUUAAGCAUAUCAAUAAGCGGAGGAAAAGAAACUAACAAGGAUUCCCCUAGUAACUGCGAGUGAAGCGGGAAAAGCUCAAAUUUAAAAUCUGGUGGUCUUUGGCCAUCCGAGUUGUAAUUUAGAGAAGCGUCUUCCGCGCUGGACCAUGCAUAAGUCUCCUGGAAUGGAGCGUCAUAGAGGGUGAGAAUCCCGUCUUUGGCAUGGACCCCAGGGCUUCUGUGAUGCGCUCUCAAAGAGUCGAGUUGUUUGGGAAUGCAGCUCAAAAUGGGUGGUGAACUCCAUCUAAAGCUAAAUAUUGGCGAGAGACCGAUAGCGAACAAGUACCGUGAGGGAAAGAUGAAAAGCACUUUGGAAAGAGAGUGAAACAGUACGUGAAAUUGUUGAAAGGGAAACGCUUGAAGUCAGUCGCGUCGACCGAGACUCAGCCUUGCCUUGGCUUGGUGUACUUCUCGGCUGACGGGUCAGCAUCAAUUUCGAUCCUUGGAUAAUGGCAAGGGAAAGGUAGCACCUUUACAGGUGUGUUAUAGUCCUCUGUCGGAUGCAAGGGUUGGGAUUGAGGAACUCAGCACGCACCUUGUCGGUGUCGGGGCCUUGGCCUACGUUACGUGCUUAGGAUGCUGGCAUAAUGGCUUUAAACGACCCGUCUUGAAACACGGACCAAGGAGUCUAACUUGCACGCGAGUGUUCGGGUGGAAAACCCGUGCGCGUAAUGAAAGUAAAAGUUGGGACCUCUGUCGUGGAGGGCACCGACGCCCGGACCAGACCUUCUGUGACGGUUCUGCGGUAGAGCGUGUAUGUUGGGACCCGAAAGAUGGUGAACUAUGCCUGAAUAGGGUGAAGCCAGAGGAAACUCUGGUGGAGGCUCGUAGCGAUUCUGACGUGCAAAUCGAUCGUCAAAUUUGGGUAUAGGGGCGAAAGACUAAUCGAACCAUCUAGUAGCUGGUUCCUGCCGAAGUUCCCCUCAGGAAAGG
rnacentral:rRNA from 1 species